AGCACAGAGACACAGAUGACAAGGGAGUCAGCGCACCCAAGGCCCAUCGCACGGCCAAAGGAAAACUUAUACAUAUGCAACACAGGCCCACUCAGGCUUUUCCACUAGCCAUGCGGAGACACCGUGGCCAGGCUGGGGGAAUCUAUAUUUCACCUUACGUUGCACACAGCUGGGCUCAGACUGGCACCAGUGUGCAUAUGCAAACAAGGCAGUAGCUGUAUUCAUCAGGGCUCCGAGAAGCCAGGAGCCUUCUCUUCUAGAGCAGCAAACAAAGAAAGGUGGGUGGGGCAUGCCAGAGGGGGCGUGGCUGGUAGGCAAGGAGUAGACGGGAAAGAGGCCAUUGGAACAGAGAACAAAUUAUGUCAAAUUAGUGUAGGGGUGUGGGGAACAUUCUCAAAGAGAAGACUUAGAAUCCAAAGGGUUUUGGAGCCAGACGUUCCUCCUAGAACCACGGUCUAAUGGCCUCCUUUUACUGAUGAAAAAACUGAGGGCGAGAGAGGAGAAAUAAUUUGCUGAGAGACAAACACCUAAUCGCAGUUUCUUGUCCAUAGGGGAAUACCGCUGUGUUCAAAUUUAAUUUUUUCUUAUAGAGGUAAAGAAAGAUCAAGGAGAUCCCUAGAUGGUCAGUCCUAUCAAGACCAUGUGAGCACCGUGUGGAGAAAGAAAGAGAAGCCAUAAGCCAUUGUCCUUGCCUUCGACAUGCAAUAAGAAUGUGUUCAAGGAUGUUGAGAUUCACUCAACACAAGGAGAAAGUCGUGAAGGGAACGUGCUACCUGCCAGGUACAUUGGGAGGUCCUCAGCAAAGAACCUGGUCAAGUCCUUCAUUCACUGAGCUUCUGCAGACACUGACAAUCAGCUAUCACACAGCAUGCCCUGUGUCUCUAGACAUGCAUCAGGACACAGCCUCAGCUUUGCAAGAGCUGGUCCCACCUAGGGCACCACCGCAAUAUGGCUGUGAUUAGAACCACAAGACAGACAGUGUCAGAACAGGCACUUCCGCAGAUGCCUGUUGGCCUGUUUUCUCCAGUCUUCCACUCGGGCUACAAGUUGCCAAACACCUUGGGAUAGGGCCGUUUGGUCAAACUAUAGCAUCUACCAAUGGUCAGUACAAAUUUUUGUCUUUGCCUAUAAAUUUGGGGGAAACUGAAAGGAAUCCUGGGCUUGAUUUCUCUCUGGUGGGUGGUGGAGACUUGAGGGCAUGCCAGGAACAGAGAAUGAGGAGCAGCGUCCGGGCCGGAAGUUGGCUGUGGGCUAGUGGCUGGAAGGUGGUGGGGGGGACAAAUGGGGCAAGGGUUGACUGCAUUUAUCAAUGAAGGUAUGAAAGGCUGUUCUAGACUUAAUUAAAUAACGACUCAUAAAUAUUCAGCUCUGCAAAGCUGAGCCUCCACAAUGAUGGAUGUCAGGGACUAAAAGGCUUUCAAGGGGAGGACUCUGCAGAGACGUGGGCCCCCACACGUGUCAGAAUGGAAAGGGCACACUGCCCACAGCUUCCGCUAGCUUGUGACAUAUUGUUCUCUCGUACCAGCCUUGCAAGCCAAAUGCACUUUCAAGCUAGCGGUCUAGCUCCCUAAGGAAGAGAAUUCUCUCAGGACCUUGGAAUUUGUAGUGCAGUGAUCCCCUUUAUCCACGCUUCCGCAUUCCGCGGUUUCAGUUACCUGUGGCUAACCAUAGUCUGAAAAUAUUAAAUGGAAAACGACAGAAAUAAACAAUCUGUAAGUUGUAAAUUGUGCAGCCGUCUGAGUAGUGUGAUGUAAUCUGGCACUGUCCACUCCAUCCUUUUUGGGAGGUAAACAUUUCCUUUAUCCAGCAUGAAGCUGGAUCUGGAAGAGAGGUGCAGGAACAAGUGUGCGAUGGGACAAGUCUCCAAUAUAGGCUAUUCGACCAGGUACGAGCACUAGUGACCGAAGCCCAGGGCCUCUGCCUGUGUGCUCCUUAUUCUCCUUUACUUAGCUUCUACCACAGCUAAGAACUUGGACCAUGCCUCGAUCAUGUUGAGCUGCUUUGAGCCUCAAGGGCUUUCUCAAUAGGGCAGUAGCAUCUAACCUACC
rnacentral:lncRNA from 1 species